GAGUUGUUGCUUGUAGUUCUCACAUUAUACUUCGUCAGGUCAAAUCAAGUACAUCAAAAGACAGAAUGCCUCCGUACUACUCAAAAAGAGGCUCUUUACUUAAUAAAUCCUCAUUUGGUGGCUAAUAAUUUGAACUGUUCAUCAAUAACGCGUUCCAGAAGAAAUAUUUCGUGCAUCUUCUCCUGGGCUUCAGGUGGAAACUGUUCAGUGGUGGAGAAAAUACAAGUGAUGAUAAGAAACAGCAUCAUGAAGUGUGCAUAUAAACCCCCCGUACAAUCCCCUAGGAACUGCUCUGUGAGCUCUUUCAUGAAAUGCUGGUGUGGAUUUAUUUCAAAGAAAGUUUUAGCCAAGCCGAAAGCUGGUACUCCAACUUAAAAAAAAGAAGAAAA